rnacentral:rRNA from 1 species
AUUGAACGCUGGCGGCAGGCCUAACACAUGCAAGUCGAGCGAGCGGCGGACGGGUGAGUAAUGUAUGGGGACUGCCCGAUAGAGGGGGAUAACUACUGGAAACGGUGGCUAAUACCGCAUACUAUCGGAUAACCCAUAUGGGAUUAGCUAGUAGGUGGGGGAAAGGCUCACCUAGGCGACGAUGCAUAGCUGGCCUGAGAGGAUGAUCAGCCACACUGGGACUGAGACACGGCCCAGACGCCUACGGAGGCAGCAGUAGGGAAUAUUGGGCAAUGGGCGAAAGCCUGAUCGAGCAACGCCGCGUGAGUGAAGAAGGCCUUAGGGUUGUAAAACGCUGUCGGUAGAGAGGCGGUAUCCACCGAGAAAGCAACGGCUAACUACGUGCCAGCAGCCGCGGUAAUAC